AGCGAACGCUGGCGGCAGGCCUAACACAUGCAAGUCGAACGAAGUCUUCGGACUUAGUGGCGGACGGGUGAGUAACACGUGGGAACGUGCCUUUAGGUUCGGAAUAACUCAGGGAAACUUGUGCUAAUACCGAAUGUGCCCUUCGGGGGAAAGAUUUAUCGCCUUUAGAGCGGCCCGCGUCUGAUUAGCUAGUUGGUGAGGUAAAGGCUCACCAAGGCCACGAUCAGUAGCUGGUCUGAGAGGAUGACCAGCCACAUUGGGACUGAGACACGGCCCAAACUCCUACGGGAGGCAGCAGUGGGGAAUCUUGCGCAAUGGGCGAAAGCCUGACGCAGCCAUGCCGCGUGGAUGAUGAAGGUCUUAGGAUUGUAAAAUCCUUUCACCGGUGAAGAUAAUGACUGUAGCCGGAGAAGAAGCCCCGGCUAACUCCGUGCCAGCAGCCGCGGUAACAC
rnacentral:rRNA from 1 species